rnacentral:rRNA from 1 species
AUUGAACGCUGGCGGCAUGCCUUACACAUGCAAGUCGAACGGUAACAGGUCUUCGGAUGCUGACGAGUGGCGAACGGGUGAGUAAUACAUCGGAACGUGCCUAGUAGUGGGGGAUAACUACUCGAAAGAGUGGCUAAUACCGCAUGAGAUCUGCGGAUGAAAGCAGGGGAUCGCAAGACCUUGUGCUACUAGAGCGGCCGAUGGCAGAUUAGGUAGUUGGUGGGAUAAAAGCUUACCAAGCCGACGAUCUGUAGCUGGUCUGAGCGGACGAUCAGCCCCACUGGGAAGGAGACACGGCCCAGACCCCUACGGGAGGCAGCAGUGGGGAAUUUUGGACAAUGGGCGCAAGCCUGAUCCAGCAAUGCCGCGUGCAGGAUGAAGGCCUUCGGGUUGUAAACUGCUUUUGUACGGAACGAAAAGCCCUGGGUUAAUACCCUGGGGUCAUGACGGUACCGUAAGAAUAAGCACCGGCUAACUACGUGCCAGCCGCCGCAGUAACAC